UAAAUGGAGUCGGGAAUGAAUGGGAAAACCGGGUUUAGCUGUCGAGGCUUACUUACUUGAAUUUGCUUUUUAAGUGAAAAAGCUUAAAAGAAAAAAAAAGACGAGAAGACCCUUAGAACUUUAAUUAUAGAACAUCUAACGUUUUUAUUGGGGCGAUAAAGAAACAUUGAAACUUUCUGUAAAAACAAGCCGAUUUUAUUAUGGGAGAAUAAGUUACCUGAGGGAUAACAGCAUAAUUUUAUAAUUAAGUUUGUGACCUCGAUGUUGGACUAGGAAACUAAUAGGCUAGCCGUUUAUUAUGUGAGUUCUGUUCGAACUAUUAUUCCU
rnacentral:rRNA from 1 species